GAUGAAGAACGUAGUGAAAUGCGAUAAGUAGUGUGAAUUGCAGAAUUCAGUGAAUCAUCGAAUCUUUGAACGCACAUUGCGCCCCUUGGUAUCCCGAGGGGCAUGCCUGUUCGAGCGUCAUUUCACCACUCAAGCCUGGCUUGGUGUUGGGCGACGUCCCCUUUAGGGACGCGCCUCGAAACGCUCGGCGGCGUGGCACCGGCUUUAAGCGUAGCAGAAUCUUUCGCUUUGGAAGUCGGGGCCCCGCCUGCCGGAAUACCUACUCGUAAGGAUGACCUCGGAUCAGGCAGGGAUACCCGCUGAACUUAAGCAUAUCAAUAAGCGGAGGA
rnacentral:misc_RNA from 1 species